CGUCCUGCCCAAAACAUAUCGUCUGUCAAAAUAGUGUGUGGCCCGUCGUCGCGGUGCAAUCAACAACAACGCUCCGUUUCGAAAUGAUUGUGUUUAAAUUAAGUGUAAUAAGUUAAGAAAAAAAAACACGUUGUUCCAAAUUGUGCUCCAAUGUUUUGGAAAUGGCUGGAGGACAACUUCAAGUACCGGCGAAAGUGCGCGAUCGUGUUUGGCCGGAGGCGCCGUAACUCGGUGCUGGAAGUGAGCGGAAGUCAGAAGAUCACCCAGCAGCAGUACCGUGCCCUGCUGGCCUGCAUCGAUUAUCUGGAGCAACACAUUGGCGUUUACGGGCUGUUCGUGACCGGCGGUAGCGUAACGCACGUGAAAAGAAUAUUCGACAAGCUGAAGGCUGGCUGUCCACUGUUGCUGGAUUAUCUGCGCUCGGCCCAUGCACCGCGGGAAUGUGCGAUGGCUUUCCAUCAGUUCCUUUCGCUGUAUCAGGUGCAAGUGCUUCCUCAGCGUUGUAUCGAUGUUGUGCUGGGGGAUGUGGCCGGUGUGCCGAAGCGGCUGAUCGCACUCGACGUGCUGAACCUGCUGCACGAAGAGUACGACGAUACGCGCCUUCACUUUGCCAAGCGCUAUCUGCAGCUGAUGCGCCGCUACACCCUGUACGGCUAUCUGCGGCCGACGGAAGUGCACGCCGUCAUCACACCGUACCUGGUGGUGCCGAAAAUAUUCCGCGGCCCCGAUCUGCGCACCAACAUGCAGUCGAAAUCGAUGACGCUGUUGGAGCUGUUUCUGCUAGCACAGCUGUUGGACGAUCCGUCCGCACUGUCGGAACAGCUACAGCAGGCUUGUGCUGCGUAUUGGCAAUCGAACUGAAGUGUCCCACCAGAAAGAUGUUUAUCUAGCUCCGGUUGGAAUGUGAUUCACCGUGAAGAUUUCAAUUAAUCACAAAACAGUGAUGAGUAAGGCCUCCUGUCUCAGUCUCUGCAGUAGAGCAAACUGCAUACUCACUCGGCAAAUCCUCAAUCUGAGCAUAACAGACGUUAUUUGUUUGUGCGCUGGAGACUUUUUUUUUACUUCCCUAUUGUUUGAACAAACGUGUUGUUUCUCGUCGGAAGCAGCGUUCUCGUUUGCCUCACCAACACACGCCGGUGAAGAGUUCUACCGGUGGUGACCGAUAAGAAUCCGGCCCGCCGCAAAUGCACCGCACAGCCCUUGUGUCUUCCCUGUUCGUGUCUUUAUCGGUUAUGAAACCUGGUGAAGCGUGUGGUGGUUGAAUUGGGUGCAUGCAUGUUGAUUGCUAGAAAUAUUUGCUACGCAUGGAUAGCAAAACGGUGUGACUAAAGCACAUGGGGAGCAGCAAAACAAAACAAAACAAAAACGAACGAAACCCCCAGCCCAAAUGCUUCAGUCACAAUCGUCUGUCCACAGGGGAGUUAGUUGUUCCUGCCUAUCGUCUGGAAAGUCGCAGUUUUAGUCAUCCUUUUUUCGUCCGCGACAGACGGAGCAGCCGAAAGGGUUUGGGGAAGAAGGGGGGGGAGGCUUUCGCGCACAUGCUUGAGGGGUGUAUACGUGUGCACCUAUCGUAUGGUGGCUGUAUUGUGGCUGUAUAUUUGAAGUUCCCGCUACUAUCGCCGAUCGCUCAGUUGCACCUGAACCGUCCACGGCCCCGAGCGGAGUUUCCUUAACGGGCGGUCCCGGAUCAAAUCAAGCCGCGAAACGAAACGAGCGACCCCACCAUGUGUUUGUGCUGUGGAAACCGCGAAGGUUACGAUAUCGACGAUGCCAACUUUGGCAAAUCGUACAACGAAAGCUUCAGCACGAGUCAGACGGCUGAAGUGGGCCCACCGAUUGUGAUCGUUAAUCAACCGACCAAUGGGGCCGUUUCCGAAGGCUCCACAGUGCCGCCGGACGCACGAUAAGGCUGGGAGCGGAGCACUGCAACCGAUAAAAUUCCUGUCCGUGCUAUCGUUGUUAGCUAUCAACUUGCAUCAGCAUCAAUUGAAUUAUACAAAGGCCCACUGCAACUGAAUGCAGUUCUCUCAUUGAGGAAGUGGGUUACGGUCGAAUGCGGGAAAGCGGUUUGCACAGUGGAAUGUUUCAUACCAGCCAACACGUGUUGGCGCUUAUCAAUUGUUUUAAUUAGAUGAAAUGCUGAUUUG